GGAACAAGAGCUUAAAUAUAUAUAUAAAUAACAUGGGAUACUAGUAUGGUUAUAAUAAGCAAUUUUUAACGAACAUCACUACAAGGUAAAAAGAACCUUACAGGUUAAGCGUACUAACCAAAGCAUGAGUGGUAUGCGAGAAACUAAAUAUUUGCCAGUGUCAUAUUCCAUGAAUAAACUGUGUUUUACAAGAGAAGUGGCAAGAAGAACUGGGAAAAUAAUAGCAACAUGCAAGGCACCAAUGUUCUUUAAAAAGCUACAUAAUGAAAAAAAUCUUUGCGAGCACCAUGAAAGACCGGGCAUUUACAAGACAUCUGUCAAAUACAAGAAGACAUAGCAGCAGAUGUCAUAUAUAGGCUUAACUACCAGAACAUUAACCCAGAGAUUAGAUAAACAUCAAAAAGAUAUUGCUGCUGAAAAAUUAACCACUGCCGUAGCAGUGGAAACAUAUAACAGCAACAUGGAAAUAAAAUAGGAACAAGCUAGGAUAAUUAAGCCAGUCACUAUAAAAUCCCAAACCAUAAUUGAAAAGAUGGAGAUAGUAAGGAGGCAAGAACGAGAAAGGC
rnacentral:lncRNA from 1 species